GACGAACGCUGGCGGCGUGCUUAACACAUGCAAGUCGAACGAAGUGGCGAACGGGUGAGUAACGCGUAAUCACACUGCUCUCCAGAGGGGGACAACAGUUGGAAACGACUGCUAAUAUCGCAUACUGAAGGUGGGCCUUCAGUCGGAUUAGCGAGUUGGAGGGGUAACGGCCCACCAAGGCGCUGAUCAGUAGCCGGACUGAGAGGGUGAACGGCCACAUUGGGCCUGAGACACGGCCCAGACUCCUACGGGAGGCAGCAAUGGGGAAUCUUCCGCAAUGGACGAAAGUCUGACGGAGCAACGCCGCGUGAGUUAUGACGGCCUUCGGGUUGUAAAGCUCUGUUAAUCGGGACGCGGUACCGGAAUAGAAAGCCACGGCUAACUACGUGCCAGCCGCCGCGGUAAUAC
rnacentral:rRNA from 1 species